CAAGAUUGUGUCAAUUAUUUUUGGCAUUGUCACAGUGUCACAUUUUACAAAAAUAAAAAAUCACCUUAUAUUUUAGAAUUCACAACAAAAACCAUUGCAAGAAACCAAACAAAUAUUUAUUUAUUUGGUCUUAAUAAGUAACAAUGGAAUCAGCUGCUCGUCCAUGUUCGAUUUCACCGCCGUUGCCUCGAGAUCGACAACCCCCCCCAGAACCCAGAGUGAGGCAGGCGCCCCCACAGCCUCGUCGUUCGACUGCCCAACCUCCGCCUCAACCGAGGGAGCGGCAACCUCCUCCGCAGCCAAGAGAAAGACAAAUGCCACCAUUGCCCAAAUAUUGAUAAUCAAAAGAAGUCAGUCCACACCACAAAGAAUUCGCGCAGACAGGGGCACUGCUUUCUCUGACAAUAACAAAAUUGCCACAAUGUUAUUUAAUUUUUAUAGUUACACAUUAUUACCACAGGAUUACUUUCGUGGCAUGGACUCAGAUGCCUGCUGUGGAAAGUAAGUACUAUAUUAUCAAGCCUACCUUGCUGUUUUUUAGCAAAAGAUUUUAUAAUUAAAACCCGAAGUAGCAUUUAAUCUUACCAUCAUAGUUAUUGUUUUUGGAUUUGAGUACUUAAGUACCUAUAAAGAUUUAGUAUAAUUGCAACACAAAAUCAAUUAAACUUUAAGGGAAAAAGCACAAAAGUGAGAUUUAUAAUGCUCUAGAUACUGGUACUGGCAGGAAAUAAUUUUUUUUGUUACAUUUUUAGUGCCAGUUGUCCAAUUGAACUACCUACUGGGUCAAAAUCGUCUCAGGUGUCCCUCUAUUGUUUCUUAAUAUCUAGUAAUAAAAAAAUAACCACAAUGGUUCACAAUAUUUUUAUCAACAGUACCAUAAAGUGGCCUAUUACAUUACAAUGUUAGGUACAUAACAAACUGGUGGCUUGUCUCACUACUUUGUCAUGAUGUUAAUUCCACAUAUUCUUGAAUGCAAUUUCAAUUAUUCUAUACUUGUUUGGUGCUUUCUAUUAUUAUAUUGCAUACUUAAUUCUGUUCAUCUAAUCAAAAAUAUAUAUAUUGUAUACCAUUAUGCCAAAAAAUAAAUGUUAAGUUAUCAACUUUACCAAAUAAUGUUUAAGUUUACCAAACAUUAUUUAUUUACUUACUUAUUGACAUAACUUCGGUUUUUCAAUAAAUAUAAAAUUAUAUGAGAACCAAAGAAACAGUACUUUGUUAAUGUGAAUUUACCAAUAUUUUUGAGUCACUAUUGACAUAUACACUUUUUAUAUGGUUUAUUUAGGAUAGUUUUGUUAUUACAGAUUAUUCUAAAAUAUAUUUUUUUAUACAGUUCAUUGUUUAAUUUACAUUAUCGUAUUUGUUAUUGUGUAUUUCGAAACAAUUUUCCCAAGAUAUGGUCUCAAGAAAUAUUAUCUACACAGUUUAGUUGGGCUAGGUACUGAAUAAUUAUUUUUUUGCUAAAAAUAUAGAAUAACAGAUUAGGUAACUAUACCCACCAAGACCCAUGUUUGUUAAUGACGAUUUUGGAGAAAGAAGUGGCGCAACAAACUUCACAAGAUUUUUGGAAGUCGGCAGUAUACUUAGUUACAAAAUGAAUUUAUAAGAUAUCUGUAUCUGAAAAUGAGUAUAUCCGUUUUAUCCACUGAGGUACCCAACGCUUUUUGUUCUCGGGAUGGUGGAUUACAGCUCACUCGAGGUUAGACGACAAAUUACCCUAGCGACAUAUUUGUUCGAGCUACUUCGGGGUAGGAACAGCCACCAGGUGGUGCUACAGUGGCUGGCGCUGAAACUGCCGGACAGGUACGUGUGGCGGCGACCUCCUCUGUUCGCGACUCCGCAAGCGAGAACGGAAUUGUUAAGGCAAGCGCCGAUCUCAAGGGCGGUAAAAGAUCUGAACAAGGUCGCUAAUAACAUACGACUUGUUCAACUGUACUUUGACUGAGUUUACAAAAACUAUGAUACAUGAAUUAUCCAAUAGGUACUUAAUUUACAUGACGUCAUAAUUGAUUUUGAAUUUGAUUGUUUUAUUUACAACUUGAAACAAAAUAUUCAAAUUCAGGUAUACAUACCUAAUUUAUGGCAAAUUUGUACAAACACAAACGGGCGUAGUUUAUUUUUUAUUGUAGCCCAUUGAUAUCUACAUCCACCGCGUGGGUGGUGGAAGUACGAGUCGUCAUUUUCUGAUAUUACUAUUGUCUGUUUAAUUUAUCCGAUAUCGCCAGUCAACAUGGGUCGUGCUAUAGUCUUAAUUUUUUUGUUACUUUUAAGCUUCGUAUUAUCUCGUCCGAAAAGGCCGAAGCGUGUCGAAAUGUCGGAAGAAGUGGUAGAUCGCGGCGCAAUCAGAUCUGGUUUCUUGAAUUCUCCGUUCAUCUUUCCUAGAGGAUGUCCUGAAGGCUACCUUUUAGACCCCACUGGACAAUGCAGAGAAGUGUGGGAUAACGAUGUUGGUGACCACGAAACUGCAGAUUAUAGCGAUUUUUAUUCUUAAAUGAUAAAUAAGAAUGAAGGCUUCAUAAUUAUGUGCAAGUGUUUUUAAAACGUAUGUAACAAAUCUGUGACUAAUUAAAAGCAGUAUGUGUU